rnacentral:rRNA from 1 species
GAUGAACGCUGGCGGCGUGCCUAACACAUGCAAGUGGAGCGACGAACCCGGACUUGUCCGGGGGCAAAGCCGCGAACGGGUGAGUAACACGUGGAUUAUCUGCCCCAAUGACCGGGACAACCCGAGGAAACUCGAGCUAAUACCGGAUGUGCUCUUCGGAGGAAAGGAAGCUUCGGCCUCCGCAUUGGGAUGAGUCCGCGGCGCAUUAGCUAGUUGGUGGGGUAAUGGCCUACCAAGGCGACGAUGCGUAGCUGGUCUGAGAGGACGAUCAGCCACACUGGAACUGAGACACGGUCCAGACUCCUACGGGAGGCAGCAGUGGGGAAUCUUGCGCAAUGCACGAAAGUGUGACGCAGCAACGCCGCGUGCGGGAAGAAGGUCUUCGGAUCGUAAACCGCUUUCAGUUGGGACGAGGGUCAGCUGGUGAAUAGCCAGUCUGACUGACGGUACCUUCAGAAGAAGCCCCGGCUAACUACGUGCCAGCCGCCGCCGUAAAAC